UACGGAGGGAGCUAGCGUUGUUCGGAAUUACUGGGCGUAAAGCGCGCGUAGGCGGCUUUGUAAGUUAGAGGUGAAAGCCCGGGGCUCAACCCCGGAACUGCCUUUAAGACUGCAUCGCUUGAAUCCAGGAGAGGUGAGUGGAAUUCCGAGUGUAGAGGCGAAAUUCGUAGAUAUUCGGAAGAACACCAGUGGCGAAGGCGGCUCACUGGACUGGUAUUGACGCUGAGGUGCGAAAGCGUGGGGAGCAAACAGG
rnacentral:rRNA from 1 species